AUGAUGUGGUUUCAAGAGCAACCCGAUCUCUCACUCAGGCCGCAGUCCAUGCAUGCAGCAGGCGGGCUGUGCUCACUGCAGUCCCCUGACCAGCCUGACAGUUAUUGGUUACCUGGCCUGAGGGGAAGCACCGUGGAGGGUCUUCGCACUGGCAGGGGAAAGAGUGAAUGCCAGUUGAGCCCUCACUAUAAAAGACAUGGCUGCUCACAAAUGCUCCACUGCGAAUUCCUCAGGAAUCUUGAAAUUGGUGGUGGAAUCUCCAUUUUACAGGUGAGGUGACUGAGGCUGAGAAUGAAGGAAGCCAGCUUUCUAGCUAUGUGACCUUGGGCAACCUCUCUGUUUAGUCUCUGCAAAAUACAAAAAAUUAGCCAGGCGUGGUGGCAGGUGCCUGUAAUCCCAGGUACUGGGGAGUCUGAGGCAGGAGAAUUGCUUGAAUCUGGGAGGUGGAGGUUGCAGUGAGCUGAGAUCACACCAUUGUACUCCAGCCUGGGCAACAAGACCAAAACUCAGUCUCAAAAAAAAAAAAUUUAAAAUUUAGUGAGCAUGGUUGUGCACACCUGUAGCAGUGCCUUUAGCAUGACUUGAUAGCAUCUCAUAGGGUUGUGAGGAUUAACCAGUUUAUAGGCAGCAUUUUGAACAUCAGUAGCUUGGCACAGAAUGUGAGCUAAAUAUGCUUCAUGUUUUUACUGCUACAGUCAUGAUCAAUAUCUGACUAACUUUGAGACACUAUAGGAAGCAAAACUAACUUCUCUUUCCCUUUCUUCUGUCUUCCAAUAUAGAUGCAACAACAUUUUCCUCACUUCCUGGAAAUGGCUCUGUUCUAGCCUUUCAACAUUAUCCAGGAGGUAAGAUCUCUUAAUUGGAGAAUACUAAAUCUAUUCCCAAUCUAUUGAUCAUGUUUAGAGACCUGAAUCCCCAUAAACCCAUCUUUUAAACUAAUGGCAGAAAACAGGUGUGUACUCAGGAUGCAAAGCAUGAUCUUUGACUAGUCAUGUCAGGAAAUGGACAAAAUCAAUCUUUCUGAUCCAGAUUUCAAGCUGUAUACUGUCCCAACUUUACAAAUGUACCAAUUCAACAUAUUUUUUGUUGUUUGUAGUGUAUUAUGUCUAAGGUUUUGUAUUUCUCAAGCUUAAUCUGAACAACAGUAUUACCCAGGGGCCAUUGUCUCCAAAUCCAUUCGCAAGUCUAGUAUAAACUUAAACAUAAAGCAUGUUCUUAUCUUGCAUCUAGGUCAGUUUGAGGGUAAAAAUCCCAACCAAGCAUGUGAUACUGAAGCACUAUUGGGAUGCUUUGUUGAUGGGGCUUUUUAUUCCUCCCUGUCUUCUGCAGAUGUCUUAGUGACAGUGAUGUUUAAGUUAGAGCACCUCCGGCCGGGCGCGGUGGCUCAAGCCUGUAAUCCCAGCACUUUGGGAGGCCGAGGUGGGCGGAUCACAAGGUCAAGAGAUUGAGACCAUCCUGGUCAACAUGGUGAAACCCCGUCUCUACUAAAAAUAAAAAAAAAAAAAUUAGCUGGGUGUGGUGGCAUGUGCCUGUAGUCCCAGCUACUCGGGAGGCUGAGGCAGGAGAAUUGCUUGAACACAGGAGGCGGAGGUUGCAGUGAGCUGAGAUUGUGCCAUUGCACUCCAGCCUGGGCAACAAGAGUGAAACUCCGUCUGAAAAAAAAAGAGCACCUCCAAGAAUCUUAGUGUUGAAUCUUCCAAAGUGUUCAAAUAUGUGGUAAGAUAAAUUAAGCAGAAGCUAAGUUGAGGGUUGGACUGUGUGCUGUUGGCCUCUUGUUCUAGUGACAAGGUCAGCAGUCCCUGUGGGCAUCUCAGUUCCAGCCCCUGCACAGGCAUGUGUUCACACACUCACAUGCACACAGAUGCUCCUGGCUUUUGGUUCUUUCCCAGGUAGGAAUCUGUUCUUUACACCCUGACUUGCUGAUCUGUCUUCUAGCAGGGAUCCAAGAACAUUACUGAGGGGCAACAGGACUUUGGGUGGGGGUAACAGACUGGGAUUGAGGUGAUCAGAUUCUAGUCUCAGAUGAGUCCCUAAUAGGGUUUUGGACAAAAUCUCCAUUCUGAAUUUGUUUUCUUAGCUCUAUAAAGUCUACACGUAAGUUUAACGAGGUUUUAGUUCUAGUUUCUAACUGAGACCUACUUGAUGAGGAACACUAUUACGACCAUUACCACCAGCAACAGCAUCGUUAUUCUUUCUCUGAACUGGUGGUUGACCUGUUUUGGAGAAGUGAUUGUGAAGAUUAAAUGAGUUAAUAUGACAAGUUUCAAACAGUGCGUUGGCAUGGCAUAUAAUACAAUCUGUAAAGUAUUAGUAGUGAUGAGAGGACAUUGCUUACAGGGUUGUGAAUUGUGAUAUGCCUCUUGGAAAACAGGGCAACAGACAUAUCAAGAGCCAAAACAAAUGGCUGUCAAACCAGAGAUCCCACUUCCAGAAAUCCCAAAAUAUAUAACGUUGGAAAACUCAUACCAAACAUAUUCAUCACAGGAUUAUUACAUACAUUUUCAAAAGAGUGGCUAAGAAGAUCAAAUAAAUUAGGAGACCAUCUACUUGACUCACUCCUUUGUAGCCACUAAAAGACUAAUAGCAAUGCAAAAAAACAAAAAGAGAUACAAACCUGCACGCCUUUGACAUAACUACAAUUACAUAGUUAUAUAGUAAUAUACAAUUAUGAACAUUGUAAAACUGACAUAUAUCCUGGAGUACAUGGCCUUUGGUGUUAUGAGUCUUCCUUUCUCCUUCAUAGCUAACAAGGAGGUCUGCAACAUACGCUAUAGGUAGUCAAAUGCAACCAGAAGUGGGAAGAGAAGACGCAAAGGCUCUUUACUUUUUGUCAAGACCCGACUUGACUUUAAUGAUCAAUAAGUGUCCACUCAGCAGUUAUUUCCUGGAAUUAGUUGCCUUUAACUUUUGUUCUUAAAGUCUGUUCAGAAGAAUACACUCCUAAGCAACCUGUCUACAUGAUGCCAGGGUUCAUUGGGUCUUUUUUUGGCAACACUCCAAAGUAUUCUCAAUCCGAAGGCAGCCUCCACAAUCUGUUGGUAGGAACGUGUUGACUGUUGACUAGUACUAAUAACAAACAAAGACAGUCUUAUGCCUUCAUAAUCUCUAAUCUUGCUUGCAGAUCUUUGGGGAAAAAAACUAUUCACUCCAGAAUGAUGAAGGCAAGCUAGCUAGAAUGGAAAAGAAAGUGUUCUUGAGGUUUAGUGGUUUUAUUCAAGAUGUGCUGGGCC
rnacentral:lncRNA from 1 species